rnacentral:rRNA from 1 species
GCAUAUCAAUAAGCGGAGGAAAAAGAAACCAACAGGGAUUGCCUCAGUAACGGCGAGUGAAGCGGCAACAGCUCAAAUUUGAAAUCUGGCCUCUUCGGGGUCCGAGUUGUAAUUUGGAGAGGAUGCUUCGGGCGUGGCACCGGUCUAAGUUCCUUGGAACAGGACGUCACAGAGGGUGAGAAUCCCGUAUGUGAUCGGCCGCCUUCGUCCAUGUGAAGCUCCUUCGACGAGUCGAGUUGUUUGGGAAUGCAGCUCAAAAUGGGUGGUAAAUUUCAUCUAAAGCUAAAUAUUGGCCAGAGACCGAUAGCGCACAAGUAGAGUGAUCGAAAGAUGAAAAGCACUUUGGAAAGAGAGUUAAAAAGUACGUGAAAUUGUUGAAAGGGAAGCGCUUGCAACCAGACUUGCUCGCAGUUGCUCAGCCGGUGUUCUCACCGGUGUACUCUUCUGCGGUCAGGCCAGCAUCAGUUCGGGCGGCCGGAUAAAGGUCGCGGGAAUGUGGCUCCUCUCGGGGAGUGUUAUAGCCCGCGGCGCAAUGCGGCCAGCCUGGACUGAGGUCCGCGCUUCGGCUAGGAUGCUGGCGUAAUGGUUGUAAGCGACCCGUCUUGAAACACGGACCAAGGAGUCUAACAUCUAUGCGAGUGUUUGGGUGUCAAACCCAUACGCGUAAUGAAAGUGAACGGAGGUGAGAACCCGUACGGGUGCAUCAUCGACCGAUCCUGAUGUCUUCGGAUGGAUUUGAGUAAGAGCAUAGCUGUUGGGACCCGAAAGAUGGUGAACUAUGCCUGAAUAGGGUGAAGCCAGAGGAAACUCUGGUGGAGGCUCGCAGCGGUUCUGACGUGCAAAUCGAUCGUCAAAUUUGGGUAUAGGGGCGAAAGACUAAUCGGGACUGAUCUAGUAGCUGGUUCCUGCCGAA